rnacentral:rRNA from 1 species
AUUGACGCUGGCGUCUGGCCUAACACAUGCAAGUCGAGCUUGCCGCUGACGGGUGAGUAACGUAUGGGGAUCUGCCCGAUAGCGGGGGAUAACUUCUGGAAACGGUGGCUACUCCCGCAUACUAUCGGCUGACCCCAUAUGGGCUUAGCUAGUAGGUGGGGUAAAGGCUCACCUAGGCGACGAUCUCUAGCUGGUCUGAGAGGAUGAUCAGCCACACUGGGACUGAGACACGGCCCAGACUCCUACGGGAGGCAGCAGUGGGGAAUAUUGCACAAGGGGCGCAAGCCUGAUGCAGCCAUGCCGCGUGUAUGAAGAAGGCCGUAGGGUUGUAAAGGACUGUCAGCGGGGAGGCGUUACCCGAAGAAGAAGCACCGGCUAACUCCGUGCCAGCAGCCGCGGUAAUUC